UACGGAGGGUGCAAGCGUUAUCCGGAUUUACUGGGUUUAAAGGGUGUGUAGGCGGGCUAUUAAGUCAGUGGUGAAAUCUCCGGGCUCAACCCGGAAACUGCCAUUGAUACUAUUAGUCUUGAAUUUUGUUGAGGUAGGCGGAAUAAGUCAUGUAGCGGUGAAAUGCAUAGAUAUGACUUAGAACACCAAUUGCGAAGGCAGCUUGCUAAACAAAUAUUGACGCUGAGGCACGAAAGCGUGGGGAGCAAACAGG
rnacentral:rRNA from 1 species